ensembl:lncRNA
GGGGUUGGGGUUGGGGUCAGAGACAGAGGUCGGGGUUAGGGUUUGGGGUUAGGGUCAGGGGACGGGGUUUGGGAUUAUAUAGGGAUUAGGGGAUUUGGGUUUGGGUUAGGAUUAGGGUCAGGGGUCAUGGUUAGGGAUUAUAUAGGGAUUAGGGGAUUCAGGUUUAUAUAGGGAUUAGGGGAUUCGGGUUUGGGUUAGGAUUAGGGUCAGGUUGGGGUUAGGGAUUAUAUAGGGAUUAGGGGAUUCAGGUUUCUAUGGGGAUUAGGGGAUUCGGGUUUGGGUUAGGGUCAGGGGUUGGGGUUAGGAUUAUAUAGGGAUUAAGGGAUUCAGGUUUCUAUAGGGAUUAGGGGAUUUGGGUUUGGGUUAGGGUCGGGUUGGGGUUAGGG